GUUUGACGUUUAGUUCCUCAAUAUGACACACUGCUCUCAUGUCUCAUUCAUCUGUCACAGUUUAAUCUUACAUGAAUUACUGAUAUUAACUGGUCUUGCUGAAAGGUUUAGACAUCAAAAAUGAAGUUCGUCUAUGCUGUGUGGAUCUGGAUUUGUUUGUCAGGGUUUAGACAUUCAGCUGCUGAUGGGAUUCACAUAAGCAAACCUGAAGGAAAUGAAGUCACAAUUAUGUGUACUCAUAUACUGGCUUCAGAUAACAAGAAGUAUUUCUGCAGAGAUCCAUGCAAAGAUAAAGAUAUUAUAGUAUCAACUGAUCAGACUUCUAAUGGGAGAUUCAGACUGGAGGAUUCUGGGAAUGGAACGUUCACAGUGACCAUCACUGAUCUACAGAAGUCAGACUCUGGGAUUUACUGGUGUGGAGUGGACAGAGUUGUUAAAGACACAUAUGAAGAGGUCAAUCUGAUAGUAUAUAAAGGUAAAAAUAACAAUAUUUGGCGUAAAUGUUCUACACUGUAAAAUACACUGUUUCAUUUAUUUUUGACUAUCACACACUCAACAGCAGAUAAAAACACAAACACAUCUCAGAAGACUCCAACACCAGAGACAAAAUCUGAUUCUCAAACCUCCACAAGUAGAUCAUUCACUCCCACACCUGAUGACAUCACAAUCUCAUCUAAAGGUCAUGAUGAAACACCACAUUCAGCUGAUCAAAGAUUUUUAGAUAAAGCUGGUGAGUUUCGCCCUCU